UAGGGAAUCUUCCGCAAUGGACGCAAGUCUGACGGAGCAACGCCGCGUGAGUGAAGAAGGAUUUCGGUUCGUAAAACUCUGUUGUUAGAGAAGAACAGCGCAUAGAGUAACUGUUAUGCGUGUGACGGUAUCUAACCAGAAAGCCACGGCUAACUACGUGCCAGCAGCCGCGGUAAUACGUAGGUGGCAAGCGUUGUCCGGAUUUAUUGGGCGUAAAGCGAGCGCAGGCGGUCAAUUAAGUCUGAUGUGAAAGCCCCCGGCUCAACCGGGGAGGGUCAUUGGAAACUGGUUGAAUGGAGUGCAGAAGAGGAGAGUGGAAUUCCAUGUGUAGCGGUGAAAUGCGUAGAUAUAGGGAGGAACACCAGUGGCGAAGGCGACUCUCUGGUCUGUAACUGACGCUGAGGCUCGAAAGCGUGGGUAGCAAACAGG
rnacentral:rRNA from 1 species